GAAAUGUCUGCCCAGUUUCCUUCUCCAUGAGUCUCAACACAGCUUUUUAAUAUCAUGUCUUCUUCAGGUUGCCACAAACCUCUCUUCACGCAAAAACUUUGAGGUCUUCCAACUUUAACUCUUACAUGUGGGGACUAUCUACUAAAAUUAUUGAAGAGAAAAAGAGAACAGUGGUUUGCACUUUUCCGACAGUAACACUACUGUAAAUUCGUGCAAACUAGAGCUGUAAAAGCUCUCUAUUCCCUUGUUUUUAUCCUCAACAUUGUCACAAAUUAUUGGCUUUUAAGGCAAA